CAAACAAUUCAGCUCCGAAACAACCCUAUCACUCGACCAAAAGAAAACAUCAAAUUUACUCGAGUUUGAUGACUAAACCCUAGGUUUGGCAUUUCCUGUACGAAUUAGCGAAGCGCUCCCAAACCCCGGUUUCCGUCCGGCUAUUGUUUGCAUGUUGUUUACAAGUGAACGAUACACAGACCAAGCUCAACUUGUGCUAUCAAAAUUACUAAUAAAACGAGCCCGUCAAGACACGAAAAUGAAAACUAGCAGGACAUUAAUUAUUUCCGUCAACGCCUAAACUAUUAUUUUCGAACAAGCAGAGGUAUUAUUCUAAUCACAAUGUCAAUAUUUUGGUCGAAUGAGACAAAGUCUGCAUGAAUGAAUUAAUGAAAGACGCGCCAAAUUUUCGACGGUUUAGGCGGUGUCUGUAAAACAAGUCAGAAUCAUAGAAGAGAAAUUAGUAUGAGACUAUUUUUGUAAAAUAAAAUAGCCUCAAAAUAGAUCGUUACCCCACGCGUGUUCUACAUUGCCUGUCAACACUUGUGCCGAAACAGGACAUCUUUGUGUGCAAAAUGUAAAGAAAUGGCACAUUUGUGGCAUUCUCAUGGUAUGACUCAGCAUAUAAAAGCGAAAAAAUAUAAUCGUAUACAAAAAAACAUAUUCAUGAAAGAACCCCUAGUUAAAAUGAUACAAUCAAUAUACUGUCGAGUCUAUUUAUCUUAAAAAUAUAGUUAUAGAUGUUACGGACAAAAGUGUCGCACGUUGAAAUCUUCCAUCAUUGCUUAGCGAUGACAUCAUGCAGUUACACCUAUUGUGUUCGCUCUAUGCGUCAUCUGAAGAUUAAAAACAAGAGUAUCGGGUUUCAACGCAUAAUAUUAGCAGCCUUGAAAACUUUGGCGAUAAGCGAGGGUUUGCUCAAACAGAAAUAGAGGUUAGCAGUGGCAACGCGACUGUGUGAGGGGAAAUAGUCAUUAGCUUACCAGACAACACGAGACUUGACUAUAAUGGGAAGCACUGUAAUAAGACGGAACAGCAGCCGCAAGAAAAGUUUCCGAAGAACAGACACACGCGACCGCGGUACAUCCACCGAAACGCAGCGCGUUCAGCGGUCAGCCAGCUUUCGCGCCAGUAACAAUGACAACCAAGCCACGAGCAAAGAGAUCGGAAGCGCGCUCCGGAGGAUUGGGGACGAACUUAAUAACAGCCUUCUCAAUCUCAACACAGUGUUUUGAUGACGUCAUACGUUUAAAGAGGCGGGAAACUUGUACACACUACCAUGAAUCAUUAGUCCUGUUUUAAGGACUCGAUAUAAAGGACAACCAAAAUAAAACUCAUACAUUCGUAAAGAAAGCACCAAAUUGGGGACAAUAAGCAUAAUUGCACGUAACCAUGGCAAUGUCAGUUCAUCACCUUGCACAACAGCACGUGUUAUAUUUCACAAAAGUAAAUCGCAGUUCAAUCAUGGCUCAAACUUUUGGGAAGUUUUUACCAGAUAAGGAGAAAGGGGGAUUGUGCAGUAUUAAAGAACAUGGGACUUGCGAAAAGGACGGAAAGUACUAGAAGAAUCUAGAAAGACUAUACAAAAGCAAUGUGUAAACAGCCAAGAAAACAAGAGAAAUUUGAUGAGUCAUCAUCUUGACAUUUAGAACAAAAGUAAAUGAGCAUGUUGCAAUUGGGAGGAUGUAUAGACAAUGGUAACAAAGCUGGAAGAUAAGACAUAAAUGAAUUGAACGUUUGUCAAUAAAGAUUAUACUUAUUCUA